rnacentral:rRNA from 1 species
UACGAAGGGGGCUAGCGUUGCUCGGAAUUACUGGGCGUAAAGCGCACGUAGGCGGCGAUUUAAGUCAGAGGUGAAAGCCCGGGGCUCAACCCCGGAAUUGCCUUUGAGACUGGAUUGCUAGAAUCUUGGAGAGGCGGGUGGAAUUCCGAAUGUAGAGGUGAAAUUCGUAGAUAUUCGGAAGAACACCAGUGGCGAAGGCGGCCCGCUGGACAAGUAUUGACGCUGAGGUGCGAAAGCGUGGGGAGCAAACAGG